AACGAACGCUGGCGGUAUGCUUAACACAUGCAAGUCGAACGGAAUUUACGAGAGCUUGCUCUUGUAAAUUCAGUGGCAAACGGGUGAGUAAUGUAGAGGAAUCUACCCUUUAGUACGGAAUAACUCUGGGAAACCAGAGCUAAUACCGUAUACUACCCUUCGGGGGAAAGAUUUAUCGCUAAAGGAUGAGCCUCUAUCGGAUUAGCUUGUUGGUGGGGUAAAGGCCUACCAAGGCAAUGAUCCGUAGCUGGUCUGAGAGGAUGAUCAGCCACACUGGAACUGAGACACGGUCCAGACUCCUACGGGAGGCAGCAGUGGGGAAUAUUGGACAAUGGGCGCAAGCCUGAUCCAGCAAUACCGCGUGAGUGAUGAAGGCCUUCGGGUUGUAAAGCUCUUUUAGUAGGGAAGAUAAUGACGGUACCUACAGAAAAAGCACCGGCAAACUUCGUG
rnacentral:rRNA from 1 species